rnacentral:rRNA from 1 species
UACGUAGGUGGCGAGCGUUGUCCGGAUUUACUGGGCGUAAAGAGCGCGCAGGCGGCUGGUCAAGUCCGAUGUGAAAGCUCCCGGCUUAACUGGGAAAUUGCAUCGGAAACUGAUCGGCUGGAAGGUGGGAGAGGGUCGCGGAAUUCUUGGUGUAGAGGUGAAAUUCGUAGAGAUCAGGAAGAACACCAGUGGCGAAAGCGGCGACCUGGCCCGACAUUGACGCUCAUGCACGAGAGCGUGGGGAGCAAACAGG